rnacentral:pre_miRNA from 1 species
UUAACUCACAUCUGUUAGGAGUUGGAACGUUUGCCUACGUUUGCCGCUGGAAGCGCUGUUCCAAAUGCAUACAAAUCUGAGUUA